CGAGUCUCGUACGCUCGCAGGAAGGUCGUUUUCUUUCCUCUACGCCUCGUAAGUUUACUACGCCGACUUUACACAACGGCACACGCGUCCCGUCCCCUUCAGUCGUAGCACAGCUCUCGUCGCGUGUGGAACGGUCGCGUAUUCGGUGCGACGGGUGAUUUCAACGCUGGACGAAGCGCGUUUUUUAUACAUUUUUUUCUUUCGUUCGUGCAUCGAAUUUUUCGCAAUCGUUUUUCGUAAUUCGGGGUAUAAAAAAAAAACUGCGAAUAUAAAAAAAUAAACUCGUAUUUCGUGAAUCGUGAAUCGUCGACGAAGAUAGUUUUUUUUUUCGCGUAGAGUGUAUCCUACAGUGUACAUCAAUCCGAAAAUUAAUAUCUUAAUGGACGAAAUCGAGGAGGAUUUAACGACAGUGACCGUUCAAUAGAUAAUGUGUUGUUAAUCGAAGGGACAUAAUAUCGGGGGAAUAGAAUUCAUCUCGUAAGCGGUGUAACAUCGUAUUGGAUGCACUCAAUGCCACUUGUUCGCCAAGUGUAAACAUGAUUCCCGCGCAUUGACGUAUGCACCGGACCGCGAGUGCAAGCUGCACUCAGCUGUGAAUUCGUAAAAGUGAGAUCAAAGAGGCAUGCUGAAGCACGUGUCAGUCUCUCCUUGGAGAGGGCGAGCGGACAGCGUGAGUCUCUCUUCGAGC